GUGCUGAUUGGUGCGUUUACAAUCCUUUAGCUAGACACAAAAUUCUCCAAGUCCCUCAUCCGAUUAGCUACACACAGAGCUCUGAUUGGUGUGUUUACAAUCCUUUAGCAAGUCACAAAAGUUCUCCAAGUCCCCACCUGUCAGAGAAGCCCAGCCGGCUUCACGUCUCACUGGCACUUGCUUGGGGACUUUGCAGUACCUAGCCCCAGCAGCCCAGAGGGAGCUCAUCCCAGACAAUCAAGAGGAAAACAAGGGAAGCGCGGAAGAGAGGGAGACCUGGAGACAAUGACUUGGCCCAGCAGCUAGCAGUUCUCUGGCAGAGAAAUCCCUGGGCCCAGCCGGUCUAUGAGAGAGUACAUGUUCAUCCGCUACACCUCGGACUGCAGUGUAACCAGGGCAGGCUUCAAUGCAUCCUUUCACAAGAGUAAUGAGUUUAAAUAUUUUUUUGAUACCAUUUUAUCCCAUCUCGUCUCAUUUCCUCUCUCUUUCUCUCUUCCUAAUAUUUUUGGGCACCAGGACACAAGGCAAGUCAGAGGACAUGGAUCUCUGCCCAGGCUCUGGAUGGCUGGCUCCCCUUAUGUCAAUGCUGAGUCCUGAUCCAAAGCACUGUAGCCAAGUCGUACAAAAGUGUCCUGCUUCAGGUCUCUGGGUGGGGCAUCGUCACUCUAGAAGAGGCUGCGGUGGAUAUUUGCAUGCAGACAAGGGAUCAUCACAUCCCCCAAGUAUCUGGAGACCUAUUCAUCCAACCUCAACUGUUCUUGGGACGUCCUGGUCCAAAGUGGCCUGACCAUUGCUGUUCAUUUUGAACAGCCUUUCCAGAUUCCAAAUGGAGAUUCUUCUGGCCACCAGGGUGAUUACUUCGUGGUAGGUCUUGCUUGCUACCCUUUCUAAUUACGUUUUCCAUAGACUUUACUCAGAAAACAAAGUGAUAAUUUUUCUCUCCUGGACAUAAAUGGAUAAGAAUUACGUACUCCUUCUUUUGCAAUGUAAAGGAGUUGAUGUGAUUUUAAUUUGUCUUUCUUGCUAAGAAAUGGUCCUGAUAUUCUCCACUCGUUGGAGCCUGUGGAGGGAAUGGUCAUUUUUGUGGCAGCCGUGCUUCACCGACUCUGUUCACCUCGGAUAAUCAAAUGUUUGUUCAGUUAAUUUCUGAUUAUAGACCGUGGCUGCCUGCAGGACUUCGUGGCUGCCCAGGUUCUGGUUUCCAUUUGGAGCCGCGCUGUGAGUCAGAACACCUGGGCGCCGAGAGUAGGCAACUGCCUGAGGUGACCGACUGAGGAGGAGGGUAGUCUGGGACACCUGGAAGGGCCACAGCAUGCCGAUGACCCUCGCCAGGACCUCAUUUGACCCGAACAAGCACCGACCCAUCGAGACCUCCUCGGUGCACAGCGACAGCCCGAAAGGUCCUAAUGAGGCCAUAGGACCAGCAGUCACUUACGUGGCCGCCCAACCUGGGUCGAGCCCUUCCCGCAGCCCCAAGCGAGGCAGGGUCCUCGCAGCACCCAGUCUGCUCUACCUCCUUCACCCAGGGGUGGCUGCAAUGGGAAACGCCUCAGAAAAGAGGUCCAAGUACCCCUAGGAGGCUGGGGACGUCCAUGGAGAGUCCUCCUGUCUCAGAGCCCAUUAUGGAGGCACGACAGGGAGCCUUUCCCUGAGGGCGGUCAGGCUGCCCUGGAAAGCUCCCUGUGCGACCAGCUGACCUGUGGCUCCCGGACCGCCGGGGAGCAGCAGCCCCCCUGUCUGCUGAGUGAGAACCUUUGGGACGGACCCCCUCAGGCAGCUCCAUGGCAGGGAGUUCUACCCCCAGCAGGAUUCUGCCAUGGAAAGCACGCUGGCCAAGGCUCUGUGAGGCACUGCCCUCGGGGGCCACGGAGGGAUGGACCCUGAACGGACACUACUGUGUCUGGAAUUGGUGGGUUCUUGGUCUCACUGACUUCAAGAAUGAAGCCACUGACCCUCACCAUCAGUGUUACAGUUCUUAAAGAUGGUGUGUCGGGAGUUUGUUCCUUCAGACUGGGAUGUGUCUGGAACGUCUUCCUUCUGGUGGGCUAGUGAUCUCACUGUCAGGACUGAAGCUGCAGACCUUUGUGGUGAGCAUUACAGCUCUUAAAGGCAGCCUGGACCCAAAGAGUGAGCAACAGCAAGAAUUAUUGCAAGGAGCCAAAGAACAAAGCUUCCACCAGUGUGGAAGGGGACCCUAUUGGAUUGCUGCUGGCUCCGGCAGCCUGCUUUUAUACUCUUAUCUGGCUCCACCCACAUCCUGCUGAUUGGUCCAUUUUACAGAGAGCUGA